rnacentral:rRNA from 1 species
UACAGAGGUGGCAAGCGUUGUUCGGAAUUACUGGGCGUAAAGGGCGCGUAGGCGGCCUACUAAGUCAGACGUGAAAUCCCCCGGCUUAACCUGGGAACUGCGUCUGAUACUGGAAGGCUUGAGGAUGGGAGAGGGAUGUAGAAUUCCAGGUGUAGCGGUGAAAUGCGUAGAUAUCUGGAGGAACACCGGUGGCGAAGGCGGCAUCCUGGACCGGCAUUGACGCUGAGGCGCGAAAGCUAGGGGAGCGAACGGG